UUAACUCAUUUAACAACUCAACCCAUCAAAUUAAAUGAGUUAUGGGUUGACCCAACUCAUUUAACAAAAUGGGUUGGGUCAACCCAUAACUCAUUUAACCCUAAACUCAUUUGAUUAUGAGU
rnacentral:pre_miRNA from 1 species